GGCUCAGAACGAACGCUGGCGGCAGGCUUAACACAUGCAAGUCGAGCGAGGUUUUCGGACCUAGCGGCGGACGGGUGAGUAACGCGUGGGAACGUGCCCUUUGCUACGGAAUAGUCCCGGGAAACUGGGUUUAAUACCGUAUGUGCCCUUUGGGGGAAAGAUUUAUCGGCAAAGGAUCGGCCCGCGUUGGAUUAGGUAGUUGGUGGGGUAAUGGCCCACCAAGCCGACGAUCCAUAGCUGGUUUGAGAGGAUGAUCAGCCACACUGGGACUGAGACACGGCCCAGACUCCUACGGGAGGCAGCAGUGGGGAAUCUUAGACAAUGGGGGCAACCCUGAUCUAGCCAUGCCGCGUGAGUGAUGAAGGCCCUAGGGUUGUAAAGCUCUUUCAGCU
rnacentral:rRNA from 1 species